GCAGCAGAUGAUCUCCAGCCGCGAGGCAGCGGCCGAGGCGGAUUAUGGCAAUCAGCCAUCCCUCGGCUCUCGAUCGAUCAUGUGACUGUGAGCUUUGCGAGGAGUGGAUGUGCUGGCGGCCAAAAUGUGAACAAAGUGAACAUGAAAGUGGACAUGCGAUUCAAUGUGAUGAACGCGCAUUGGCUCUCUCUCCAAGUGAGGAACAAGCUGCUUCAAACAGUUUGUCACGAUCUUUGAAAUGAGAAGAACCGGAUCAACAGCAACAGGUGAAUUGGUCAU